AGCAGAGUGGCGCAGCGGAAGCGUGCUGGGCCCAUAACCGCAGAGGUCGAUGGUUCGAAACCAUCCUCUGCUA
rnacentral:tRNA from 1 species